UACGUAGGGUGCGAGCGUUAAUCGGAAUUACUGGGCGUAAAGCGCACGUAGGCGGAUUGUUAAGUCGGGGGUGAAAUCCUGGAGCUCAACUCCAGAACUGCCUUCGAUACUGGCGAUCUCGAGUUCGGGAGAGGUGAGUGGAACUGCGAGUGUAGAGGUGAAAUUCGUAGAUAUUCGCAAGAACACCAGUGGCGAAGGCGGCUCACUGGCCCGAUACUGACGCUGAGGUGCGAAAGCGUGGGGAGCAAACAGG
rnacentral:rRNA from 1 species